rnacentral:rRNA from 1 species
AGAGUUUGAUCAUGGCUCAGGAUGAACGCUGGCGGCGUGCUUAACACAUGCAAGUCGAACGAAGCACUCAGGAGCGACUUCGGUCAAUCCUGUUUGACUUAGGGGCGGACGGGUGAGUAACGCGUGAGGAACCUGCCUUGCAGUGGGGAAUAACAGUUGGAAACGACUGCUAAUACCGCAUAAUGCAGAGAGAUCGCAUGGUCUUUCUGCCAAAGAUUUAUCGCUGUGAGAUGGCCUCGCGUCUGAUUAGCUAGUUGGUGAGGUAACGGCCCACCAAGGCGACGAUCAGUAGCCGGACUGAGAGGUUGAUCGGCCACAUUGGGACUGAGACACGGCCCAGACUCCUACGGGAGGCAGCAGUGGGGAAUAUUGGGCAAUGGGCGCAAGCCUGACCCAGCAACGCCGCGUGAAGGAAGAAGGCUUUCGGGUUGUAAACUUCUUUUAUUAGGGACGAUAAUGACGGUACCUAUUGAAUAAGCUCCGGCUAACUACGUGCCAGC